rnacentral:rRNA from 1 species
ACAGAGGUCUCGAGCGUUAGUCGGAUUCAUUGGGCUUAAAGCGUACGUAGGCGGGCGUGCAGGCGUCGUGUGAAAGCCCUCGGCUCAACCGGGGAAUUGCACGGCGAACCGCACGUCUUGAGACAAGUAGGGGCGGUCGGAACGAUAGGUGGAGUGGUGAAAUGCGUUGAUAUCUAUCGGAACGCCAAUGGUGAAGACAGGCCGCUGGGCUUGUUCUGACGCUGAGGUACGAAAGCGUGGGUAGCGAACGGGA